CGGAGCACAUCGCCGAAUUCUGCCGGUGCCCGGGGUCCGAAACACAGAAACUGCUUGGCAGAAGCGGGGGAACCACUUUCCGGUCCCGGUCCGUCCGGGUCCUUGGGGUUAAGCCGCAGGGGCGUCCGCGCCCCGCGACCGGGUGUCUCCCACCCGAACCCGACAGCUCACCUCGUAGGCAAAGGGAGGAACA
rnacentral:sRNA from 1 species